rnacentral:rRNA from 1 species
GAUGAACGCUGGCGGCGUGCCUAAUACAUGCAAGUCGAGCGAACAGACGAGGAGCUUGCUCCUCUGACGUUAGCGGCGGACGGGUGAGUAACACGUGGAUAACCUACCUAUAAGACUGGGAUAACUUCGGGAAACCGGAGCUAAUACCGGAUAAUAUAUUGAACCGCAUGGUUCAAUAGUGAAAGACGGUUUUGCUGUCACUUAUAGAUGGAUCCGCGCCGCAUUAGCUAGUUGGUAAGGUAACGGCUUACCAAGGCAACGAUGCGUAGCCGACCUGAGAGGGGGAUCGGCCACACUGGAACUGAGACACGGUCCAGACUCCUACGGGAGGCAGCAGUAGGGAAUCUUCCGCAAUGGGCGAAAGCCUGACAGAGCAACGCCGCGUGAGUGAUGAAGGUCUUCGGAUCGUAAAACUCUGUUAUUAGGGAAGAACAAAUGUGUAAGUAACUAUGCACGUCUUGACGGUACCUAAUCAGAAAGCCACGGCUAACUACGUG